UGGGAGAUUUUGGUAUGGAAUAUUUCAAAAUAUAUCCUAAUCUUAACUUCAAUUAUUAAAUUUUGAAUCAACUAUAAUCGAAACAUUAUAGCAAAAGUCAAUUUCGAAUAAUUUUAAAAACAACUUACUCGUUAUGAAUAUAAAUUUCAAGUCUGAGUAAAUCUAGAGACAAUACAUACAUGAUUUACACAAAAUGGGAGCUAAAGGUCAAAUAAUAUUAAUUUCGGAUACAAGACUUGAAACAAUUAAAACAAAGCAUUGCGAUGGUCCCUGCGAAUGCUCACGCAAUGUGAUUUCUGCCUAGUGCUCUGAAUGUCAAAAUAAAGAAAUUCAACCAAGCGCGGAUAAACAGCGGGAGUAAAUAUGACUCUCUUAAGAUAGCCAAAUACCUCGUCAUCUAAUUAGUGACGCACAUGAAUGGAUUAACGAGAUUCCCACUGUCCCUGUCUACUAUCCAGCGAAACCACGGUCAAGGGAACGGGCUUGG
rnacentral:ncRNA from 1 species